UCCCACAUAGCUCAGUCGGUAAAGCAUAUGCCUGCAAUGCAGGAGACCUGGGUUCAAUUCCUGGGUCAGGGAG
rfam:TPA: Bos taurus chromosome 2, whole genome shotgun sequence.